UAUAGUUGGAGUGUAUGUCACACAAUCGGGGAGUGUUUAGAACAGGAGGAGUGGAUGAAAUUACUUACAGGUAAACCAGGAGGACCAGGGGGUCCAAGUGGACCUGCAGGGCCGGAAAUUCCCUAAGACAGAGUAAGAGACUCCAGGAUACCAGAUGUAGAUUAAAACUUCACAAUUACUAUAAGACUAUGUGAAGCUGAGUAGACACAGUAAGUUGUCUUGCUUUCUGAUACAAAACCUCUACUGUUUCUUCUGCUAAUUUUAUAAAGCUUUUAGACUGGAUAAAAAUUACAAAUGUACAAACAAUGACUCCAUUAUACCUUCUCUCCUUUGGAACCUGGAUCUCCUUUCAAGCCAGGCAGGCCAGGUGGACCCUAAAUAAAUCAAGGGAAGCAAUGUUAAAGUGGAUCCAAUGUAAGCUGAUGCUUAUAGAAUCUAUUGGAAAACUCUGCUGCAGUCUUACUAGCUGGGAAACCACUGCAAAGGAGAAACAUCCACACAGAUAGGUCUUUUUUUGCACCUCCCUUGCAAAAACCACUGAAUAACCUUGUUCUUAUAACUUGACACAAGCUUAUUUUCCCUGCCACUGUUUUUUUUUUUUUGUAGCUUUACUGGGUCAUAAGAACAACCCACUGAAGAUACUACUUUAUCAGUUGUAAAAAUCCGGAUAGAUGUCACAGAAAAAGUCUCUAUAUGAAGCUUGUUAAAAUCACCUUGGCUUGCCUUUUUUUUUUUUACUAUUUUAAUCCUUACUUAUCAUUUUAGAAGAAUUUUGAGGGAUUUGAGAAAUAUUCUGAACUUCACAAGAAUGGCAGUGCUGGUUUUCUGUAAUUUGUACUGAAUGAGGUGAAAAAAUUCAGGCUAUGCAGUGCACAUGCAAUCCCAGAAAAAGCAUUCAUUUCUCAGAGACUAUGCAUCUGGACACUGAACACUUCUGCCAUCAGGUGUAGAGCUACUAGACACAGUCAGUAUCUCAUCGCUGCUAGCAGUGGAUCUCUCCUGCUGGCAGUGGACACCUGAGAAGUUAUGAUAUGGAUAGCAAUAAUAAGUGACCUUUUCAACCAGGCACAGAUUCAAAAGUGCUGUAACAGUUCAUGUACAAAAUAUUAUUCAGUGCAUACCAUUUCCAUCUCUACUUCAGGUAUCAUUAGGUGCAAAAGCCUAGGCAAAUACAUAAUUCAUGAAUGAAAAGUGGAAUUUUUAAGCUUCUAGAAUACAGAAUCAGAUAUUUUCACCUGCAGUGUGUUGUGCUCUGCUGCAAAUCUGCUUUCAUAUUCUUCUCCCUAUAGCAAUCUACUGUGGAGGGAGGAACGUGAAGGAGGGAGACCUAACCUCAGCAACUUCUGCAUAUAAACUCUAUUUCCUUAAAAUCCAAACUAAAGUUUAAGUUGCAGCAAUGCAUCUAAAAAAAGGUUCUUGCUGGGCUAACAAGACACUCUUGUUGAGCCUAUGCAUUUGGGAGUAUACACUUCCUUAAUACAUUUAGCUUCAGACUUGAACUGAAUAUUUAAGCUCUCAAAUGUUGGAAAAGAGAUUCUUUGAUGAUGUAUUAGGAGGCUUCUGGUAACUGAUGUGUGGGAAAGGGAUGCUUAUUAGUGCUGAGUAAUUUGUUCUUUGGCUUUAGGUGUCAACACAGAAUUGUAACAGAGGAGAUCAGUUUUUAGUUCCCUGAUUUCUCCCUCACGCAUUUUAUUGGGCACAUCAUUUAAAAACUAUGGUGGUGAUCCCAUCAUAAACUCUCUGUAAAAAAGCAUUUGUAUUACAGGCUUAGCACCGGAGUAUACUUUUUCCUUGCAGCUUCUCAUUCACUGUUCCCAACUUCUGAUUUACAAGCAAUAUGUUGACCAUGAGACUAGACAAAAAUUAGAAUGUUAAAAUGAAGGACAACAAAGACCUACAGUGUAAAGUUUCCUUGGUACAUUAUUUCCUCAUUUUUGUUUUCUAAUGGACAGAGAAAAAUGAAAUUAUACGUAGGUGCCAUUGUCAUAUCAUCUAUAAUUAUUUACAUAGAAGUGAUUGAUAGAUACCCCUAUCCACCAGAUCACAGUCCAUUGGGAAAAAUCCUUCUAGUGAGUGGGGCAUAAAACUAUUUGUUCUGAAACUCUACUUAGAGGUUAUGAACUUGCAUGUUUUGAAAAUGCAAAUGGUUACCCAAAUGCUUUCACCUGUGCAAGUGUUUCUGUCAAUGAAAGAGAAGGCAAUUGCUCAUUUUCACAUAUGCACAUGAAAGUGAACAACUGAUUUAGAGUAAAAGUCUUGAUUUAUACAGCAUCUCAGUUUAAAUUCCUCAUUUUUUCCACUUCCAUUUUUAUCUACUGGAAAAUUCUGAUAUGAAAAAUGCAUAGCUGCUGUUCAGAUCUUGAAUUCUCACCAGGGAGGCAGGAAUGCUCUUGGAGAGAUUUUGACUUCAGUUUUAUAACUUAAGCGCAAAAACUUUCAAUAUUAAGGCUACCUAAGGACCUGUAUCAUUUGUAUCCUCUGAGUCUGUAUAGGAAAAGGAACAGAGGAUUCCCUUCACACUUCUUACUCAAAGCCUUUCUCUUGCCCUUUAAAAGCCACAUAAUUUGUGACGUAGAGGUUAGCUCUUUAUUGCCCUAUUCUCCUGAAGUAAUCUGAUUGUAUAUUCUGGCCAAAAUAACAGAGUACAUUUUACUUAGUAUGUGAUAUGUUUGCACUGCUUGCAAACUGUUAAAUGCCUUAACGGUGUAACACUUGUUACUCUUCCAUCAAACUGUAACAGUCUAUAUAUUGUUUCAAGGAUUUUUACUCCCAAUGUGUCACUCAACUGUGACAGUUUCAGUGAAUUUGGAAAGCAGCAGAUGUACGAUCUUUCCACUAGUUUAUAUAAUUUAGAUUUGAAUUUCUGCACAUAAUAUUGAAUCAGAACAGCAGUGUUGUGCAAUUUGUGCUCAGUAUCAUGUUUUCAGCUUGUUAGAAGAAAAUGCACUAAAAUAGCAAGUGUAAAUAGAAGCAAUGAUAUAACUUGAUAGUAUGUCAUCUAUGAGCUUCCCUUGCUUUUAUUAAGACAUAGCAGAACUUCGGCAUGCCUUAGAUGCACUAGAAACUGGGAGUUUGGUUCAUUCAGACACUUUUGAAACACUGGUUCCUGGCACUGCCGCAGUGAACAACUGAAAUGAUGCUACUGUUCAUUUUUAGAAAACUAGCAUGUUUUCUUCAUUGGUAGAAGUUCCUUUUUGGCCCUAAUUCUGACCUGAUUUUUACUUCUCUAAGGAAUAGAUAUGAUCCAAACUUUUACCCUAUAAAUAAUAUUUUCCUAAACUAGCAGUUCCUAAAAUCAAUGGCUGUACAAAACUUGCAACUGCUAAGGAAACUCAAGGAUUUAAAGUAUGAAGCUUUGCUGACAUGGGGACAGAAGUAGAUUCUUCGAUUGUAAGUUUCAUUAAUUUUAGUUUUCAUUCUCUUCAGGGGAUUUCAAGAAUCUGGUUUUACCCUGCCUUAUGAAGUUUUUAUGGGCUCAACAUCAUUCAGCACAGCUGCCUACUGAAGUAGAGCAGUAAAAUUCAAAGGCAGUUGUGCAUUAGAUUUUACCAGGACAGAAUAGUGACUUUGUGCUAGGAACAGACUUGUACAUUCAUUUUUCUGUAAAUGCUAUAUUUUAAUGAAAUGGUGCUUUUUCUGGUUUGGCACUGAAAGGAAGCAU